AAUACGUUCCCGGGCUUGUACACACCGCCCGUCACACCACGAAAGUCGGUAACACCCGAAGCCGGUGGCCCAACCUUAGGGAGGGAGCCGUCGAAGGUGGGAUUGGCGAUUGGGGUG
rnacentral:rRNA from 1 species